rnacentral:rRNA from 1 species
CAUAGGUUAAUGAGGCGAACCGGGGGAACUGAAACAUCUAAGUACCCCGAGGAAAAGAAAUCAACCGAGAUUCCCCCAGUAGCGGCGAGCGAACGGGGAGGAGCCCAGAGCCUGAAUCAGUGUGUGUGUUAGUGGAAGCGUCUGGAAAGGCGCGCGAUACAGGGUGACAGCCCCGUACACAAAAAUGCACAUAUUGUGAGCUCGAUGAGUAGGGCGGGACACGUGGUAUCCUGUCUGAAUAUGGGGGGACCAUCCUCCAAGGCUAAAUACUCCUGACUGACCGAUAGUGAACCAGUACCGUGAGGGAAAGGCGAAAAGAACCCCGGCGAGGGGAGUGAAAAAGAACCUGAAACCGUGUACGUACAAGCAGUGGGAGCCUCUUUAUGGGGUGACUGCGUACCUUUUGUAUAAUGGGUCAGCGACUUAUAUUCUGUAGCAAGGUUAACCGAAUAGGGGAGCCGAAGGGAAACCGAGUCUUAACUGGGCGUUAAGUUGCAGGGUAUAGACCCGAAACCCGGUGAUCUAGCCAUGGGCAGGUUGAAGGUUGGGUAACACUAACUGGAGGACCGAACCGACUAAUGUUGAAAAAUUAGCGGAUGACUUGUGGCUGGGGGUGAAAGGCCAAUCAAACCGGGAGAUAGCUGGUUCUCCCCGAAAGCUAUUUAGGUAGCGCCUCGUGAAUUCAUCUCCGGGGGUAGAGCACUGUUUCGGCAAGGGGGUCAUCCCGACUUACCAACCCGAUGCAAACUGCGAAUACCGGAGAAUGUUAUCACGGGAGACACACGGCGGGUGCUAACGUCCGUCGUGAAGAGGGAAACAACCCAGACCGCCAGCUAAGGUCCCAAAGUCAUGGUUAAGUGGGAAACGAUGUGGGAAGGCCCAGACAGCCAGGAUGUUGGCUUAGAAGCAGCCAUCAUUUAAAGAAAGCGUAAUAGCUCACUGGUCGAGUCGGCCUGCGCGGAAGAUGUAACGGGGCUAAACCAUGCACCGAAGCUGCGGCAGCGACACUAUGUGUUGUUGGGUAGGGGAGCGUUCUGUAAGCCUGUGAAGGUGGCCUGUGAGGGUUGCUGGAGGUAUCAGAAGUGCGAAUGCUGACAUAAGUAACGAUAAAGCGGGUGAAAAGCCCGCUCGCCGGAAGACCAAGGGUUCCUGUCCAACGUUAAUCGGGGCAGGGUGAGUCGACCCCUAAGGCGAGGCCGAAAGGCGUAGUCGAUGGGAAACAGGUUAAUAUUCCUGUACUUGGUGUUACUGCGAAGGGGGGACGGAGAAGGCUAUGUUGGCCGGGCGACGGUUGUCCCGGUUUAAGCGUGUAGGCUGGUUUUCCAGGCAAAUCCGGAAAACCAAGGCUGAGGCGUGAUGACGAGGCACUACGGUGCUGAAGCGACAAAUGCCCUGCUUCCAGGAAAAGCCUCUAAGCAUCAGGUAACAUCAAAUCGUACCCCAAACCGACACAGGUGGUCAGGUAGAGAAUACCAAGGCGCUUGAGAGAACUCGGGUGAAGGAACUAGGCAAAAUGGUGCCGUAACUUCGGGAGAAGGCACGCUGAUAUGUAGGUGAAGCGACUUGCUCGUGGAGCUGAAAUCAGUCGAAGAUACCAGCUGGCUGCAACUGUUUAUUAAAAACACAGCACUGUGCAAACACGAAAGUGGACGUAUACGGUGUGACGCCUGCCCGGUGCCGGAAGGUUAAUUGAUGGGGUUAGCGGUAACGCGAAGCUCUUGAUCGAAGCCCCGGUAAACGGCGGCCGUAACUAUAACGGUCCUAAGGUAGCGAAAUUCCUUGUCGGGUAAGUUCCGACCUGCACGAAUGGCGUAAUGAUGGCCAGGCUGUCUCCACCCGAGACUCAGUGAAAUUGAACUCGCUGUGAAGAUGCAGUGUACCCGCGGCAAGACGGAAAGACCCCGUGAACCUUUACUAUAGCUUGACACUGAACAUUGAGCCUUGAUGUGUAGGAUAGGUGGGAGGCUUUGAAGUGUGGACGCCAGUCUGCAUGGAGCCGACCUUGAAAUACCACCCUUUAAUGUUUGAUGUUCUAACGUUGGCCCGUAAUCCGGGUUGCGGACAGUGUCUGGUGGGUAGUUUGACUGGGGCGGUCUCCUCCUAAAGAGUAACGGAGGAGCACGAAGGUUGGCUAAUCCUGGUCGGACAUCAGGAGGUUAGUGCAAUGGCAUAAGCCA